rnacentral:ncRNA from 1 species
UUUGCCUACUAGAACAGCGCGAUACGCUGUUAGUCUCCCUGGGAGGCGACACGUUCAACAUGCGGAAAGGCCUAUAUGAUAGGAAAUCCGCAGCCCAUUGCCCUUACCCGGCGAUCGGUUCAGAGACUCGAUGAGCGUGGGUUAGGCUGAUCAUAGCCUAGCUUGAGAUAGAGCCCGUCCCUGCUGGCAACUGCAGGGAUUCGACGGAACCUGCGGAAGGAUCAUUA